UACGAAGGGGGCGAGCGUUGUCCGGAAUUAUUGGGCGUAAAGAGCUCGUAGGCGGUGUGUCGCGUCGGCCGUGAAAACCUGCAGCUUAACUGUGGGCUUGCGGUCGAUACGGGCAUCACUGGAGUUCGGCAGGGGAGACUGGAAUUCCCGGUGUAGCGGUGAAAUGCGCAGAUAUCGGGAAGAACACCCGUGGCGAAGGCGGCUCUCUGGGACGGUACUGACGCUGAGACGCGAAAGCGUGGGGAGCGAACAGG
rnacentral:rRNA from 1 species